rnacentral:rRNA from 1 species
UCAUACGCUUGUCUCAAGGAUUAAGCCAUGCAUGUCUAAGUAUAAAGGAUUUAUAAUGAAACUGCAAAUGGCUCAUUCAAACAGUUAUAGUUUAUUUGAUAUUCAAGCUAAUAUUCUUAUUAGUUAAAUGGAUAACCGUAGUAAUUCUAGAGCUAAUACAUGCGUUACGGGGAACUUUACGGGACCCCAGCGUUUAUUAGAUUUAAACCAAUAUUCCGCAAGGUCUACUGAGAUGAUUCAUGAUAACUGAUCGAAUUGCUGGAACUCUAGCAAUAAAUCAUGUAGGUUUCUGCUUCCCAUCAGCUUGAUAGUAGUGUAUUGGACAACCAUGGCAUUCACGGGCUAUCGGGGGAUUAGGGUUCGAUUCCGGAGAGGGAGCCUGAUAAACGGCUACCACUUCUACGGAAGGCAGCAGGCGCGAAAAUUAUCCAAUCCUGAUUCAGGGAGGUAGUGAAAGAAAUAAUGAACUAGGAUUUAUCCUGGGAUCACAAUGGGCUUGAUUUGCAAACACUUAGCGAGGAACAAUUGGAGGGCAAGUCUGGUGCCAGCAGCCGCGGUAAUUCCAGCUCCAAUAGAGUAUAUAAACGUUCCUGCAGUUAUUCGAUGCUCGUAGUUGGAUUUCUGAGGUUGAGACGGGAGGGUGGCUAUGGCCAUCGCCCGACUCUUUCCUCAUCCACCUGUUUGCGAAGUCCGGGAUUGAUUUCUCGGCUUCGGGCGCAGUAUCUUACCAUUUCAAUAUUCGUAGUCUUCAUCGAUUAUGUUGUUUCUUUGAGCAAAUUAUAGUGUUUCAGGCAGGCGUGCGCCGGAAUACAUUAGCAUGGUAUAAACGAAUUGGACCGUGUGCCCGUAACUGGGCUUCUCCUUAUUGUUGGUUUGAAGGACACGGAGAUGGUUAAUAGGGACAGCGUUUAUUUCACAAGGAGGCAUUAGUAUUUAAUUUCCAGAGGUGAAAUUCUUUGAAAUAUUAAAGACUAACUUAUGCGAAAGCAUCGUUUGCCAAUGAUGUUUUCAUUAAUCAUGAACGAAA